UGGCCCAUAGUGUAACGGUAACACCCCAGGUUUUGGUCCUGGUAUUUCUGGUUCAAAUCCAGAUGGGCCAG
rnacentral:tRNA from 1 species